rnacentral:ncRNA from 2 species
AACUCAUCGAGACCAGCCGAGGGACAGGCCCGACGACGCUGGGGCAACCGCCAGAUGCUUCAUUUAGCCUUUGGAAUGGUGCCAACUCCUGCGGAAUUUCGCAUUCCGACAGAUGAGAG